GCGGGAAGAGCUCAAAUUUGAAUCUAGUAGCCUUCGGCUGCUCGAGUUGUAAUCUAGAGAAGUGUUUUCCGUGCCGGCCCAUGUACAAGUCCCUUGGAACAGGGCGUCAUAGAGGGUGAGAAUCCCGUCCUUGACAUGGACCCCCGGUGCUCUGUGAUACACUUUCAACGAGUCGAGUUGUUUGGGAAUGCAGCUCAAAAUGGGUGGUGAAUUCCAUCUAAAGCUAAAUAUUGGCGAGAGACCGAUAGCGAACAAGUACCGUGAGGGAAAGAUGAAAAGCACUUUGGAAAGAGAGUUAAACAGUACGUGAAAUUGUUGAAAGGGAAACGAUUGAAGUCAGUCAUGCUCUUUGGUAUUUAUAUCAUUGAGUGGGGUCAACAUCAGUUUUGAUCGAUGGAUAAAGGCACUAGGAAGGUAGCACUCUCGGGUGAACUUAUAGCCUAGCGUCAUAUACAUUGAUUGGGACUGAGGAACGCAGCAUGCCUUUAUGGCCGGGAUUCGUCCACGUACAUGCUUAGGAUGUUGACAUAAUGGCUUUAAACGACCCGUCUUGAAACACGGG
rnacentral:rRNA from 1 species